UACAGAGGUCUCAAGCGUUGUUCGGAUUCAUUGGGCGUAAAGGGCGCGUAGGCGGCGGGGUAAGUCGGGUGUGAAAUCUCAGGGCUCAACCCUGAAACUGCACUCGAUACUGCUCUGCUUGAGGACUGGAGAGGAGACUGGAAUUCACGGUGUAGCAGUGAAAUGCGUAGAUAUCGUGAGGAAGACCAGUGGCGAAGGCGGGAUCGUCUGGACAGUUUCCUAGA
rnacentral:rRNA from 1 species